rnacentral:rRNA from 1 species
GACGAACGCUGGCGGCGUGCUUAACACAUGCAAGUCGAGCGGUAAGGCCCUUUCGGGGGUACACGAGCGGCGAACGGGUGAGUAACACGUGGGUGACCUGCCCUCAGCUCUGGGAUAAGCCUGGGAAACCGGGUCUAAUACCGGAUAUGACUCCAUGACGCAUGUUGUGGGGUGAAAGCCUUGUGCGGCUGAGGAUGGGCCCGCGGCCUAUCAGCUUGUUGGUGGGGUGAUGGCCUACCAAGGCGACGACGGGUAGCCGGCCUGAGAGGGCGACCGGCCACACUGGGACUGAGACACGGCCCAGACUCCUACGGGAGGCAGCAGUGGGGAAUCUUGCGCAAUGGGCGAAAGCCUGACGCAGCGACGCCGCGUGAGGGAUGACGGCCUGGU